rnacentral:rRNA from 1 species
AACGUAGGAGGCGGGCGUUAUCCGGAGUUACUGGGCGUAAAGCGCGCGCAGGCGGUGCGGUAAGUGGCUUGUGAAAAUGCCCGGCUAAACUGGGCGAGGUCAGGUCAGACUGCCGUGCUAGAGGGUGGUAGAGGAGCGCGGAAUUCGGGGGGUCGCGGUGAAAUGUGUAGAGAUCCCGGGGAACGUCAGUGGCGCAAGCUGCGCUCUGGGCCACUACUGACGCUGAGGCGCGAUAGUGUUGGGAGCUUACGGG